UGCAGCUUCACGAUUGCUACAUUAAGAAGAUUUGCUUUGCCAAAAAACAAUCCAAAAUAACCUCCUGAGUGGGAGAAUCACGUCAAUGCGGAUAAAAAAGGUUCAGGUUCAGGGAUGAAGGUGUUUCUUGGUGGGAAACAGUAAUUCUGACGGAAAACAUCCCAGACUCUCUUCAGGGAAGGGAACUGAGAAAGCGUCCUCCCAGUUCGGACUGCAGGCCCCUUCCACAUCAGGACAAGAGGACAUCCAUUGUCCAAUAAUCGCCUUUGAUUGUUGGGCGUGUUGCUAACAGACAGAACGCAUUUAAG
ensembl:lncRNA